rnacentral:lncRNA from 1 species
CCAAGUUGGGAAAAAGCUGAUGGAACCAGCGUGAGGAGAGCAGACUUAAGAUGGAUCUGCCAGCCUCAUAGUCCCUACAAAAGUAACGUCUAAAUGACUGUCAGUACAAGUAUUUACACCUCACAUCCAUGCCUGUCAGUACAAGUAUUUACACCUCACAUCCAUGCCUGCAAGCUUUACAAUAAAAUCAGCCAGGUUCUGCGUCCUAAUUAUCCAAAUGAACAUAAGACAUUUAAAAACUGCCAAUACAACCUGCUACAAGUCACACAUAAGAGUCCCACCAUGCCAAGAACUAUGGUCUCUUUGUCCACACCGUACCAAUGAGUUCACGAAUGAGUUACUUUCCCUUAAAACGUGCUCCUGACCUGCCGUUAGAUGCACUAAGUGCCCAUUCCGCAUUUAGGAGAAGGCCCAAAACUCCAAGCCAUCAGCCGAUUAAACCAUUCUGGUUUUGACGUAGCUUCCCAAGGCCCUUACAUUCCAGCAGAGUAAACGCAUAAAUCACAAUUCAGAAAUGGAUGCUCGAAUAGCUUGAAG